rnacentral:lncRNA from 1 species
UACUGCAGCUGGGCAGGCACACUCCUCGCAGACCCGGCGCUCUCCAAGGAGAAAAGAAAGUUAGUGGGCUUGGUGGCCCGCGCUCACCUUGAGGCCGCGGAUCUCGCCGAGGUGCAGCUGCAGGCGGCGGUUCACCUCGCGGAUGAGGUUGCUGUGGUCCAGCAUCGCGCUCACCUUCUCCGCCUCGGCGCGCCGCAGGCUGCGGAUCAGCUCCUCCUUGCUCCACUGCAGCAGCUCCUCGUCCGACACUUUGGACAGGUCCUCCACCGGCGCGGGCGGGGCCGCGGACGAGCCGGCCGGGGCUGGGGAACAACUUUCCGCCGCCGCCGCAGCCGCCGCCGCGCCUCCGGCCGCCUUCGACAUGGAGAAGAGCUAACCUUGGGUAGCUGCUGUUCCUUCAGUCUGAGCCACACACUCAGCCACCCCAGCCAACCUGAAGAUCUGCAGCAUGAAGCAGAGCUAUGCUCACAGACUCACAGAUCUGUGUGUGAGAAAACAAGACUGUUGUUUAAGCUACCGACUUUUGGGGAGAUUUAUUGUGCAGCAUUACUAAUGCAAUAGUUAGCAGAUACAACUCCCCUGCCUAAAUCCCUUUGGGGGCAUCUCAGCACCUUUCUGUGGAGUGAAGCUACAUUUCUUAGCAGAGCAUGUAAGAUGGACACAGUCUGAUGCUUGCUUACUUUUUCAGCUCCAACUCCUACCAUACUUUGCCUGCCUCAUAUUUCAUACUUUUUCAGUUCUAAACUGCCUUGUAGCUCCCUGUCAGCAUUCAAUAUACCUCCGUACCACACUGAUGCUCUUUUCUCAUGCAUGAAAUGCCUUCCUUGCCUUAUCCUUCUGAAUAACUUCCAACCAGAUCCUUCAAAAGGCAUCAUCUUAUCCAGAGUGCUGGCAUCAGCCCACAUUUCCCUGGCAGAGGCAAAGGUACUAUGGCAGAAAUGGCCAGGGAAGGGUUUAUCUAACCACCAGGAGUACGCAAAGAAGAGAGGUCCAGCCAGCCUGCCUCUCAGAUUGUUAAGAUGCCAGGUGUCUUUUGGCUCAUGGAAACAGCUGUUCUGCCCCCUCCCGAACCCUAGACUCACAGCUACACUCUAUGGGUGGGACCAAAAUGCAAUUGCAUAUUUCUUUAUAAGCAGGAGAUUUCACAAAGAAAAGGAGAAGGCAAGAACCACAGAGGCAAAGAUUGGAGAGAUGUGGCUGCAAGUCAGGCAGUAUCUAGCUGCGGGAAAGGACAAAGGGAAGGCUGCUUCCUGAAGAGAUCUCCAUAUGGAAGAGCUGCAGAUCACAAACAACCCACACAGCCAUUGUAACGCCUGCUUGCCUGGUCACUUGUGUUUCUGAGAAGCCAUAACUCCAAGAAUAGCGAAGGGAAGAAAAUGCCAAAAAGCAGGGGCUGCCUAACAGGUCUGACUUGCAAGGCAAACUCCUGGCAGGCCUGGCCAGCUUCUGCUUGUCCCAGUGCAAUCCCACCCCCAUAGGAUCUGGAAUUUUUCAGUCCCUUUGCUAAGAUUCCUGAAAUAGACUUAAUGAAGAGCCUCAGAAGUGAAAAUUCCUCUUCACACAUUUGCUCAAGAAGAUUGCUUUUCUCCUAACACAGAAAUCAGCUGCCUUGAGGAUGUGCAAGUUUGAUUAGGGAGUCUGCUCUUGCCUAUUUCUCAAACGGUUCAGGCCCUGACAGAAUCAGUGUCACCCCUAAGGUAUUUGCUUCAAAUGCCCCCCAUAUAAUCAAAACUUAUAAAUGAUAAACCAAAAGUUGAGGUACACUCAUUGCCUUUCAGAAUGAAACCUUCCAAGGGGCCAUGAUCAUAUUGUGACUGGACAAGAACUAUCAUGGAUGAGGCACAUCAUCUUUUGGAACCAUCUAUGGAACAGAUAUUAUUAUUCCAUUUUGCGGAAGAGGAAUCUGAGGCUCAGGCCAGACAGAUGCAGCUAACGUUGAGUGGCAUCCUGAUGAUCACCUUCAUCACAAAAGGAAGGAGUGCUCUGAGGACUGUAGGUGGCUCUCAGAACCCUGACCUCCACGGCAGCCAUCAAGGAGUGGCAAAGGGGGUCCACAGUGGCAUAUGCAGUGAGAUCCAAGUUUUAGGCAUUCGGAGUAGAGCAAGCCACGAAUGAGAACAGGUUCUGAAAGUGACAGAAAAGGAGUCACUUUUUUGGUUCCAUAUGAACUUUAAGGUAGUUUUUUCCCAGUUCUGUGAAGAAAGUCAUUGGUAGCUUGAUGGGGAUGGCAUUGAAUCUAUAAAUUACCUUGGACAGUAUGGCCAUUUUCAUGAUAUUGAUUCUUCCUACCCAUGAGCAUGGAAUGUUCUUCCAUUUGUUUGUAUCCUCUUUUAUUUCCUUGAGCAGUGGUUUGUAGUUAUCCUUGAAGAGGUUCUUCACAUCCCUUGUAAGUUGGAUUCCUAGGUAUUUUAUUCUCUUUGAAGCAAUUGUGAAUGGGAGUUCACUCAUGAUUUGGCUCUCUGUUUGUCUGUUGUUAGUGUAUAAGAAUGCUUGUGAUUUUUGUACAUUGAUUUUGUAUCCUGAGACUUUGCUGAAGUUGCUUAUCAGCUUAAGGAGAUUUUGGGCUGAGACAAUGGGGUUUUCUAGAUAUACAAUCAUGUCAUCUGCAAACAGGGACAAUUUGACUUCCUCUUU